AUUGAACGCUGGCGGCAGGCCUAACACAUGCAAGUCGAGCGGAUGAAGGGAGCUUGCUCCUGGAUUCAGCGGCGGACGGGUGUGUAAUGCCUAGGAAUCUGCCUGGUAGUGGGGGAUAACGUCCGGAAACGGGCGCUAAUACCGCAUACGUCCUGAGGAGAAAGUUGGGGAUCUUCGGACCCCACCCUAUCAGGUUAGCCUAGGUCGGAUUAGGUAGUUGGGUGGGUAAAGGCCUACCAAGGCCACGAUCCGUUACUGGGCUGAGAGGAUGAUCAGUCACACUGGAACUGAGACACGGUCCAGACUCCUACGGGAGGCAGCAGUGGGGAAUAUUGGACAAUGGGCGAAAGCCUGAUCCAGCCAUGCCGCGUGUGUGAAGAAGGUCUUCGGAUUGUAAAGCCCUUUAAGUUGGGAGGAAGGGCAGUAAGUUAAUACCUUGCUGUUUUGACGUUACCAACAGAAUAAGCACCGGCUAACUUCGUG
rnacentral:rRNA from 1 species